UACGGGGGGGGCAAGCGUUGUUCGGAAUUACUGGGCGUAAAGGCUCGUAGGCGGCCAACUAAGUCGGAUGUGAAAUCCCCAGGCUCAACCUGGGAACUGCAUCCGAUACUGGAUGGCUUGAAUUCGGGAGAGGGAUGCAGAAUUCCAGGUGUAGCGGUGAAAUGCGUAGAUAUCUGGAGGAAUACCGGUGGCGAAGGCGGCAUCCUGGACCGACAUUGACGCUGAUGAGCGAAAGCUAGGGGGAGCAAACGGGG
rnacentral:rRNA from 1 species